CCCAGUGUCAUUUUUGUGAUUUGCAGCUAGUAGUCUGGGUCCAGUUGCAUAGUCACAAAAAUGAUCAUUGGU
rfam:Danio rerio chromosome 9, GRCz11 reference primary assembly.